UGGGAAAUAAGAGAUAGAUGAUAAAAGAUGACCUAGGCCCUGUAUAACUUGGAGUUACCAUGGACUCCAAUCAUCAAUUAGCAUUGAACAUCUCUAAUCAGUAUUCUACGAUUAUCCUAAGUUAAAGGACGAUCUAUUUGUAAGAACAGGAUGCUAUGAGUCAUUUAAAAACUCAAUUUUCCGCUCAUCAUCACAAUUACACAAAAACGUGAUCAUUUGAAGACAAUGAAAAAAACUGCACGCUCGCAAACUCUACAGGGAGUACAAUAACAGCCUGGACAUAUUUUUGCUGGAUGGACGAAGUAUUCAUCACCGACGGCGUGGCAGCGACCAAGAUUCAACAUGUCUUCCAAAUCACAUCUAAAAUUA